UACGAAGGGGGCUAGCGUUGUUCGGAAUCACUGGGCGUAAAGCGCACGUAGGCGGUUCGUUAUGUCGGAUGUGAAAGCCCUCGGCUUAACCGAGGAAGUGCAUCCGAAACUGGCGAGCUUGAGUACGGAAGAGGGUCUCGGAAUUCCCGGUGUAGAGGUGAAUUCGAUAGAUAUCGGGAGGAACACCAGUGGCGAAGGCGGAGACCUGGGCCGAUACUGACGCUGAGGUGCGAAAGCGUGAGGAGCAACAGG
rnacentral:rRNA from 1 species